CCUACGGGGGGCUGCAGUGGGGAAUAUUGGACAAUGGGGGGAACCCUGAUCCAGCCAUGCCGCGUGUGUGAAGAAGGCCCUCGGGUUGUAAAGCACUUUCAGUGAGGAAGAACGCCUGGUGGUUAAUACCCAUCAGGAAAGACAUCACUCACAGAAGAAGCACCGGCUAACUCCGUGCCAGCAGCCGCGGUAAUACGGAGGGUGCGAGCGUUAAUCGGAAUUACUGGGCGUAAAGCGCGCGUAGGUGGCUUGAUAAGCCGGUUGUGAAAGCCCCGGGCUCAACCUGGGAACGGCAUCCGGAUCUGUCAAGCUAGAGUGCAGGAGAGGAAGGUAGAAUUCCCGGUGUUGCGGUGAAAUGCGUAGAGAUCGGGAGGAAUACCAGUGGCGAAGGCGGCCUUCUGGACUGACACUGACACUGAGGUGCGAAAGCGUGGGUAGCAAACAGGAUUAGAUACCCGAGUAGUC
rnacentral:rRNA from 1 species